UACAGAGGUGGCAAGCGUUGUUCGGAAUUACUGGGCGUAAAGGGCGCGUAGGCGGUUCGUACAGUCAGACGUGAAAUUCCUGGGCUCAACCUGGGGGCUGCGUUUGAUACGUGCGGACUUGAGUGCGGAAGAGGGUCGUGGAAUUCCCAGUGUAGAGGUGAAAUUCGUAGAUAUUGGGAAGAACACCGGUGGCGAAGGCGGCGACCUGGUCCGAUACUGACGCUGAGGCGCGAAAGCGUGGGGAGCAAACAGG
rnacentral:rRNA from 1 species